GACGUGCGGAGAAAUCCGCAUUUCCCUCGGGACUUCCGACGAGGUGCUGCAUGGUUGUCGUCAGCUCGUGCCGUGAGGUGUCGGCUUAAGUGCCAUAACGAGCGCAACCCCCAUCUACAGUUGCUAACAGGUGAAGCUGAGGACUCUGUGGAGACUGCCGGCGCAAGCUGAGAGGAAGGCGGGGAUGACGUCAAAUCAGCACGGCCCUUACGUCCGGGGCGACACACGUGUUACAAUGGCAGGUACAGCGGGAAGCCACUUGGCGACAAGGAGCGGAACCCGAAAACCUGUCUCAGUUCGGAUUGGAGUCUGCAACCCGACUCCAUGAAGCUGGAUUCGCUAGUAAUCGCGCAUCAGCCACGGCGCGGUGAAUACGUUCCCGGGCCUUGUACACACCGCCCGUCAAGCCAUGGAAGCCGGGAGUGCCUGAAGUGCGUGAGCGCAAGCAGCGCCCUAGGGUAAAACCGGUGACUGGGGCUAAGUCGUAACAAGGUAGCUGUACCGGAAGGUGCG
rnacentral:rRNA from 1 species